GACGAACGCUGGCGGCGCGCCUAACACAUGCAAGUCGAGCGAAGCAGUUUAAAUGAGACUUCGGUGGAUUUUAAACUGACUGAGCGGCGGACGGGUGAGUAACGCGUGGAUAACCUGCCUCACACAGGGGGAUAACAGUUAGAAAUGACUGCUAAUACCGCAUAAGCGCACGGCAUCGCAUGAUGCAGCGUGAAAAACUCCGGUGGUGUGAGAUGGACCCGCGUCUGAUUAGCUAGUUGGUGAGGUAACGGCUCACCAAGGCGACGAUCAGUAGCCGACCUGAGAGGGUGACCGGCCACAUUGGGACUGAGACACGGCCCAA
rnacentral:rRNA from 1 species